AUUGAACGCUGGCGGCAGGCCUAACACAUGCAAGUCGAGCGGGGUUUUCGGACCUAGCGGCGGACGGGUGAGUAAUGCGUAGGAAGCUACCCGAUAGAGGGGGAUACCAGUUGGAAACGACUGUUAAUACCGCAUAAUGUCUACGGACCAAAGUGUGGGACCUUCGGGCCACAUGCUAUCGGAUGCGCCUACGUGGGAUUAGCUAGUUGGUGAGGUAAUGGCUCACCAAGGCGACGAUCCCUAGCUGGUUUGAGAGGAUGAGCAGCCACACUGGAAAUGAGACACGGUCCAAACUCCUACGGGAGGCAGCAGUGGGGAAUAUUGGACAAUGGGCGCAAGCCUGAUCCAGCCAUGCCGCGUGUGUGAAGAAGGCCUUCGGGUUGUAAAGCACUUUCAGUAGGGAGGAAGCGUUGUGUGUUAAUAGUACACAGCGUUGACGUUACCUACAGAAGAAGCACCGGCUAACUCUGUGCCAGCCGCCGCGGUAAUAC
rnacentral:rRNA from 1 species